rnacentral:rRNA from 1 species
GACAGAGGGUGCAAACGUUGUUCGGAUUUACUGGGCGUAAAGAGCUCGUAGGCGGUCUGUCGCGUCGGCUGUGAAAUCCCGAGGCUCAACCUCGGGUCUGCAGUCGAUACGGGCAAACUAGAGUAUUGCAGGGGAGACUGGAAUUCCUGGUGUAGCGGUGAAAUGCGCAGAUAUCAGGAGGAACACCGGUGGCGAAGGCGGGUCUCUGGGCCGAAACUGACGCUGAGGAGCGAAAGCGUGGGGAGCAAACAGG